rnacentral:rRNA from 1 species
AGCGAACGCUGGCGGCAGGCUUAACACAUGCAAGUCGAGCGGGCACUUUCGGGUGUCCGCGGCGGACGGGUGAGUAACGCGUGGGAACGUGCCCUCUGGUUCGGAAUAACUCAGGGAAACUUGAGCUAAUACCGGAUACGCCCUUUGGGGAAAGGCUUGCUGCCGGAGGAUCGGCCCGCGUCUGAUUAGCUAGUUGGUGAGGUAACGGCUCACCAAGGCGACGAUCAGUAGCUGGUCUGAGAGGAUGAUCAGCCACACUGGGACUGAGACACGGCCCAGACUCCUACGGGAGGCAGCAGUGGGGAAUAUUGGACAAUGGGCGCAAGCCUGAUCCAGCCAUGCCGCGUGAGUGAUCAAGGCCUUAGGGUUGUAAAGCUCUUUUAUCCGGGACGAUAAUGACGGUACCGGAGGAAUAAGCCCCGGCUAACUUCGU